rnacentral:rRNA from 1 species
GACCUCGAAUCAGGUAGGACUACCCGUUGAACUUAAGCUUUU